rnacentral:sRNA from 1 species
CGGUCGGAAGUUCGAGCCGAGCGUAGCGAGACAACGUUGCUUUAGCAACGGCCCGAAGGGCGAGGCUC